UUAUAAUUCUACAUGUUUAUUUAAAUGCUGCGUGCCUUUUGACGUGUUCUAUGGUUUCAAUAUGGGCGUACGUGCGCGAGUCGCAUUCAAAUCUGAUUCAAAGACAGGAGCGCGCGCGAGCAGAUGGAAACCAUGGAAACGAGGAAACCCAUCAACUGACAAACAGCAAACUAGCGUCUCUCACUGUUGUUUUCUCUGCUUUCAGAUCAUCAUAGAUGUCCUGCUGCACCCCCUGGGGUCCAAGACAAUCUCCACGGCUAUGACCUCGACCAUAGGGGUUAUGGCUGUGCUCUUGUUACCAGAUGAGAUAUCAUUUGAUCCUGUGAUUCUUCAGGACAAGAUCUUGAUGCCAUCCACACCCAGUACAUGACGAAGGUUUUCUGGGAUCCACAGUGGAAGGCAUCAAGGCGUGAGAUGUUGGCUGGACAGAUGUACCUGUACACCACACCGACCUCUGCUUUUACAUGGAUGGCGGAUUACUAUCAUGUUCUGUAAAGGUUUCAUUAUAGCAAAACAGAGCACCUGUGACAGUGGAAUCUGUAGGUGUAACGUAGUCAGUUAAAAGUAGUCAGGUGUAAAGUAGUCACAGAGAGAACGUUUUUUUUUUUUAAGUUUCAAACUUUUUUCUCUUUCACAAAAAACACUGCAGUUACAGCUUUUCAAAUUCUUCAUUGGAGGUGUACAAAUAAUUUUCUUUUU